AGUGAACGCUGGCGGUAGGCCUAACACAUGCAAGUCGAACGGCAGCACAGUAAGAGCUUGCUCUUACGGGUGGCGAGUGGCGGACGGGUGAGGAAUACAUCGGAAUCUACUUUUUCGUGGGGGAUAACGUAGGGAAACUUACGCUAAUACCGCAUACGACCUACGGGUGAAAGCAGGGGAUCUUCGGACCUUGCGCGAUUGAAUGAGCCGAUGUCGGAUUAGCUAGUUGGCGGGGUAAAGGCCCACCAAGGCGACGAUCCGUAGCUGGUCUGAGAGGAUGAUCAGCCACAGUGGAACUGAGACACGGUCCAGACUCCUACGGGAGGCAGCAGUGGGGAAUAUUGGACAAUGGGCGCAAGCCUGAUCCAGCCAUACCGCGUGGGUGAAGAAGGCCUUCGGGUUGUAAAGCCCUUUUGUUGGGAAAGAAAAGCAGCAGGUUAAUACCCCGCUGUUCUGACGGUACCCAAAUAAUAAGCACCGGCUAACUUCGUG
rnacentral:rRNA from 1 species